ACCCAGCUGAAGAAUCCUAAGUAGGACGAAACGCGCAUCCUGGAU
rfam:Schistosoma curassoni strain Dakar, Senegal genome assembly, scaffold: SCTD_scaffold0008085